rnacentral:misc_RNA from 1 species
CUGAGUUGUUGAAACAGGCUGCUGCUGGCUCCUUUUGGGAGCAUGUGCACGCUUGUUCACAUCCCAUCCUUCACACUUGUGCACCAUCUGUAGUUCUGAGCUGAGGCGUGCUUGCUUGCUCGCCUCAAAAGCUCAGUUCUAUGUUAUUUCAACUACCCUUCAGUUUGAUAGAAUGUGUUUGUGAUAAUAUAUAUAUAUA